rnacentral:rRNA from 1 species
GACGAACGCUGGCGGCGUGCUUCAUACAUGCAAGUCGAACGAGAAGCUAGAGCUUGCUCUAGUGGAAAGUGGCGGACGGGUGAGUAAUAUGUAGGAAAUCUGCCCUAGAGAGGGGGACAACAGAAGGAAACUUCUGCUAAUACCCCAUAUGAGCUUGGUUGAAAUACCAAUCUUGAAAACUCCGGUGCUCUAGGAUGAGCCUGCACCUGAUUAGCUUGUUGGUGGUGUAAUGGACUACCAAGGCGACGAUCAGUAGCUGGUUUGAGAGGAUGAUCAGCCACAAUGGGACUGAGACACGGCCCAUACUCCUACGGGAGGCAGCAGUAGGGAAUUUUGCGCAAUGGGCGAAAGCCUGACGCAGCAACGCCGCGUGUGUGAUGACGCCCUCGGGU